AAGUCGUAACAAGGUAUCCGUAGGUGAACCUGCGGAAGGAUCAUUAAAAAAAUUCGGGCUUGGGUUUAACCCAAGACCUGCCCCCAAAAGGGACCUUUUGUGCACUGUAAAAUUUUUUCACUUAAGCUUUGUCUGAUUGAUAUUUGUACCGAAAGGGACAAGAAUUUUAAUCUAAAACAACUUUUAACAAUGGAUCUCUUGGCUCUC
rnacentral:misc_RNA from 1 species